rnacentral:rRNA from 1 species
UACGUAGGGUCCAAGCGUUAUCCGGAAUCACUGGGCGUAAAGCGCGCGUAGGCGGCUACUUAAGUCGGAUGUGAAAGCCCCUGGCUCAACUGGGGAAGUGCACCCGAAACUGAGUGGCUUGAGUACAAAAGAGGGUCGCGGAAUUCCCGGUGUAGAGGUGAAAUUCGUAGAUAUCGGGAGGAACACCGGUGGCGAAGGCGGCGACCUGGGUUGAUACUGACGCUGAGGCGCGAAAGCGUGGGGAGCAAACAGG